ensembl:snRNA U6 U6 spliceosomal RNA
GAUUUCUUUUAAAAACUAAUCAUUGGAAUGAUACAGAGAUUAGCAUGGCCCCUGUACAAGGAUGACACCCAAAUUCAUGAAGCAUUCCAUAUUUUU